rnacentral:tRNA from 1 species
GGUGCUGUGGCUCAGCAGGUUAAAGCCCUGGCCUGAAGUGCCAGCAUCCCUUAUGGGCGCCGGUUCCAGUCCUGGCUGCUCCA